UACGUAGGGGGCUAGCGUUGUCCGGAAUCAUUGGGCGUAAAGAGCGCGUAGGCGGCCAGACAAGUCCGGUGUGAAAGUCACAGGCUCAACCUGUGAAUGCCGCUGGAUACUGCCGGGCUAGAGUCCGGAAGAGGCGAGUGGAACUCCUGGUGUAGCGGUGGAAUGCGCAGAUAUCAGGAAGAACACCAACGGCGAAGGCAGCUCGCUGGGACGGUACUGACGCUGAGACGCGAAAGCGUGGGGAGCGAACAGG
rnacentral:rRNA from 1 species